AUUCCAGCUCCAAUAGGGUAUAUUAAAGUUGUUGCAGUUAAAAAGCUUGUAGUUGGAUUUGUGGUGGUUUCCUUGGUUCAUUUUUGUUCCGUAGGAAACCACCAUCCUUGGGUGGAACCUGUGUGGCAUUAGGUUGUCGUGCAGGGGAUGCUCAUCAUUUACUGUUGAAAAAAUCAGCGCGUUCAAAGCAGGCUUAUGCCAUUGAAUGUAUUAGCAUGGAAUAAUAAGAUAGGACCUUGGUACUAUUUUGUUGGUUUGCGCACCGAGGUAAUGAUUAAUAGGGACAGUUGGGGGUAUUCGUAUUCCAUUGUCAGAGGUGAAAUUCUUGGAUUUCUGGAAGACGAACUACUGCGAAAGCAUUUACCAAGGAUGUUUUCAUUAAUCAAGAACAAAAGUUAGGGGAUCGAAAAUGAUUAGAUACCAUCGUAUU
rnacentral:rRNA from 1 species